UACAGAGGGGGCGAGCGUUGUUCGGAAUUACUGGGCGUAAAGGGCGCGUAGGCGGCCUUCUAAGUCGAACGUGAAAUCCCCGGGCUCAACCCGGGAACUGCGUCCGAUACUGGGAGGCUUGAAUCCGGGAGAGGGAUGUGGAAUUCCAGGUGUAGCGGUGAAAUGCGUAGAUAUCUGGAGGAACACCGGUGGCGAAGGCGGCAUCCUGGACCGACACUGACGCUGAGGAGCGAAAGCCAGGGGAGCAAACGGG
rnacentral:rRNA from 1 species